UCGGGAAUAUUGCGCAAUGGAGGAAACUCUGACGCAGUGACGCCGCGUAUAGGAAGAAGGUUUUCGGAUUGUAAACUAUUGUCGUUAGGGAAGAAAAAAUGACAGUACCUAAGGAGGAAGCUCCGGCUAACUACGUGCCAGCAGCCGCGGUAAUACGUAGGCAGCAAGCGUUAUCCGGAUUUAUUGGGCGUAAAGGGUGCGUAGACGGGCGAUCAAGUUAGUUGUGAAAUCCCUCGGCUCAACUGAGGAACUGCAACUAAAACUGGUUGUCUUGAGUGCAGGAGAGGUAAGUGGAAUUCCUAGUGUAGCGGUGAAAUGCGUAGAUAUUAGGAGGAACACCAGUGGCGAAGGCGACUUACUGGACUGUAACUGACGUUGAGGCACGAAAGUGUGGGGAGCAAACAGGAUUAGAUACCC
rnacentral:rRNA from 1 species